rnacentral:tRNA from 1 species
GGGCUCGUAGCUCAUCUGGGAGAGCGCCUGUCUUGCAAACAGGAGGUGGCCGGUUCGACCCCGGCCGGGUCCA